rnacentral:tRNA from 1 species
UGUCCAGAGAUGGGAAUCGAACCCACAGUGUUCAACUUACCGGGCAGAUACCAUGUCCACUAGGCGACCCUAGAC